UUGCCAGUGAUUAUGAAAAGACGCGUUAUUCUGAGGGACAAACCUUUGACCAGUUUUGACUCAUUCAGUCUUACCUCUCUUUGAUCUCACUUCAUCCUUCCUCUCUUCUUCUUUCUCUCUUCAUUCUUCUCAAGCUGGUUGCAGGUCCUCUGAUUGUGAUUAUGAGAUAUGAUGGCAU